rnacentral:RNase_P_RNA from 3 species
UCGAUCAAUCGGAUGGUCGCGGAAUGGCUUGCCCAUUUCGAGGAAAGUCCGGGCUCCGCAGGGCAGGAUGGCGGAUAACGUCCGCCGGGGUUGGUUUUAAGACUAACUUUAGGGAAAGUGCCACAGAAAUUAUACCGCAAUGCCUUGGCAUUGUAAGGGUGAAAUGGUGCGGUAAGAGCGCACCGCGCUUUGGGUAACCAGAGUGGCAGGGUAAACCCCAUCCGGAGCAAGACCAAAUAGGAGUGAACGCCACCCCACAAGGUGGCUCAUGCGCCCUGCAUGUCACUCGGGUAGGUUGCUUGAGAUACUUGGUAACAGGUAAUCCAGAUGAAUGACCAUCCAAUGGCGUAUGCUAUGGACAGAACCCGGCUUAUAGAUUGAUCGACAAC